rfam:Pan troglodytes isolate Yerkes chimp pedigree #C0471 (Clint) chromosome 7, whole genome shotgun sequence.
GCCGGGCGUGGGGGCUCACGCCUGUAAUCCCAGCACUUUGGGAGGCUGAGGUGGGUGGAUCACCUGAGGUCAGGAGUUUGAGACCAGCCUGGCCAACAUGGUGAAACCCCGUCUCUA